rnacentral:sRNA from 1 species
AUCAUGGAAUACUGCUUUCCUCCCAAACAAGCCUGUGUUCCAGUCCUGACCUUGACAAUGACCUGCCAGCAACUCCAGGCCUGUCCUUUAACUCCCUGAGCUGAUACCCACUUAUUUGUGAAGUGGAGACGGCAAGGAUGAUCUUCAGGGGCCCUGGUGACAGCCAGGUCAGAGCAAAGACCUAGGUGUUUAAUCUACCAUACCCAUGGUUUCUCCUUCAGCCUUUACUCCUAAAAGGUUGGGUUAAAAGCUAUGAGACUGUCUGGUUCCAGCCAAUGACUUCUUCAAGAAGCUAAGCCAGACAGAACUGAGAAGCACAGAUCCUUGAAAAAAGAGUUGUGUAAGGAAGAGCUGUGGGGAAUUCAGAAAACUGGGAUAGCCCUGGAGAAGAGAAAGGCUCGACUGGGUUUUGCAGUGGGACUAGCCUCUUUCUGAGACUUGCGGUGUUCACUGGUCUGCGUUGCUUUGGUUAGUACUCAACUCUGGGUAAGCCCGACAGAGAGCAGGAGUGUGCUUUAUAUAUGUAAGACAGUCUUCAUAGAGGAUGCAGGGCCAGUGGCAUCUCCCUGGCAGACAUCUCCCUGAGUUAAGCCAAGAGGAGUGCCAGCAAGGGCCACCCGGGGAGGCCAGGGAACCCUUCAAGAAUCAGUAGAGAUGUAAAGUGAGAGCCAGAAAGCCAGAAUUGGCUGCGGGGGUCGGCUGGGAACAGGGCAGUCUGAGGGAAACAAAACAUCUGGCAGGAUCUUCGAAGGAGAAAGGGAGAAAAAGGAGGGAGAAGGCACUGGAGUGUAACCCUGGAUGUAACCCGGACCAGAGGAGACCAAGGAUUCGGAUACCAGACCACCAGGGACCAAAGUGGAGUAUGGGCCUUGUAGGCACUGAAGAGGAGUGGUUAUGGGUGUAUGGGUGCCGUGGUCACCAUCAGGAAGUCAUAGGCUGCUGUGCUUCCUGACAAAGGCUGGCUAGGAAUGGUCUCAGAAAGCAGGCUGAGGAAUCCUUGAGGAGCAAGCCAG